rnacentral:tRNA from 1 species
GAUGAUGUAGCUCAGUCGGUUAGAGUGUCUGUUUGUCAUACAGAAAGUCGUGGGUUCAAGUCCCAUCAUCGUCG